rnacentral:lncRNA from 1 species
UUUUUGAGGUGUUUUUUUGUCGUUUUCUUUGUUUUUAUAUUUUUCAGAUGUUUACAAAUUAUGAUUUUUGAUACUUUUCAGGCAGUUAAAAAAAUGUGAAAUUUUGAUAUUUAAUUCUUAUCGAUAUUCUAAAGUGACUGGUGUAAUUUGAGAAUUUUUUGAGGUGUUUUAUAUCUUUUUCUUGCUUCUUAUAUUUUUUGGUCCUCUAAGUAUUAAAUUUUUUGAUAUUUUUCGUGCUGUCAUGAAAAAAAUUAAUAUUUUGAUAUUUUAUUCGUAGCGAUAUUCUAAGGGAGUAGUGCGAUUCUGGAAUUUUUGAGGUGUUUUAAUGUGUUU